rnacentral:rRNA from 1 species
AGCAGCCGCGGUAAUUCCAGCUCCAAUAGCGUAUAUUAAAGUUGCUGCAGUUAAAAAGCUCGUAGUUGAAUUUCGGGACCAUCAUGUCGGUCGUGCCUCGGUACGUACUGGCAUUGUUGGUUUCUACCUUCUGACGAACCAUGAUGUCAUUUAUUUGGUGUCGUGGGAAAUCAGGACUGUUACUUUGAAAAAAUUAGAGUGUUUAAAGCAGGCUCACGCUUGAAUACAUUAGCGUGGAAUAAUGAAAUAGGACGUUUGAUCCUAUUUUGUUGGUUUCUAGGAUUGACGUAAUGAUUAAUAGGGAUAGUUGGGGGCAUUAGUAUUCAAUUGUCAGAGGUGAAAUUCUUGGAUUUAUUGAAGACUAACUACUGCGAAAGCAUUUGCCAAGGAUGUUUUCAUUAAUCAAGAACGAAAGUUAGGGGAUCGAAGACGAUCAGAUACCGUCGUAGUCUUAACCAUAAACUAUGCCGACUAGGGAUCGGAUGAUGUUAAUUUUUUAAUGACUCA